AGCGAGAUCCACUUUACAAGGGAGAAAAUUGUAUAAAACUCCAUCUUUUAUUUUGCAUACUUUUAAUUUCAUAACACAAAAAACCACAAUACACAACACCCAACCCUGCUGGCAGAGGGGGAGAGGGGGUCAGGGCUUGAAUCCCUUGCUUCCUGCUGUGGACAGGGGACUGGAGAGUAACACCAGCAGG